CCUGAUUUCAUUUUGAAUAUGAUUUCUCUCUGCUCUUCUUUUGACCAGGCAGUCAUUUGUACUGUAUGGACAGUAUUCGCUGCCGCUACCAAAGAGACAUAACUUGGAAGUGCUUAUGAGUGAUUUGCUGUGCUCCUGAGCAGGGACAUUUUGGGGACCAGAACAGGAGGAACCACAGAGAGGGCUGGAGGUACUGCAAGAGAAGACAGAUUGAAAAAAAGUCAACAGUCUGGGAGACAGCUUCGUCAGUAAAGGGACAUGCCGCGCAUGCCUAAGGAGCAGAGUUUGGAUCCCCAGCACCCAGGUCACCUAAUAGGAGGGAUUUCAGCUGGCCCCUUGUACAAUUCUCUGGAGAUCCUUAUUGAAAGAAAAUGAAAACAUCAAAACCUGCUGGAUGUCACUAGUGAAGGGCAGCAUCACUUGAGUGACAGGUGAUGCAAACAUGUCUCCAGUUGCUUCUGCUGGCUAUGAACUGUCACUACUACCUUUGGAACGAUUUGAGGAAAGAAAGUUGAUGAUUCCUGAGAGGAGUUUGAACAUCCUGGAUUCUGAUGGGUGACUAUGGAAGUCACUCCACAGACAGAGUGUCUGUCCAGGAGACCGAAUGUUAUCCUGAGCACAAAAGCCUAGAAACCUGAGAAUGAUAUUCAGACAGAGAAUCCAUUGUGACCUUGGGAUAUGGAGGACAUCUUCCUUCCAUUUGGGAUUACAGGGAAUCCCAAAUACAGUUUCUGACUGCUGGGUGGACAACUCCUGCGUUCCACAUUUGGAGUGGCAGCAACUUUCUUGCUGGGCCUCAUGUCCUGCAUUGUAGCUGUGGUGAUGUAUUCCUGGAGUCAGGUGGCCUGCAUUGGCAGAGGGGUAGUUCAGUCCUCCAGUGUUCUGGAAACCAUUUCUAUUAGCCCACUCUACAGAGUCCUCCAGUUCUGUCUUCACAAGCUCCAGGGUCACUUUAUCAAAUUCUUUCUGUGUCAAGUAUCAAGAAUGGAUUCUGUUUCACACACCAAACUCCAUCAUGAAACAGAGUACCAAGACAAAUGGGAGGCCUGUCGUAAAUGAAUCUCAUAGAUGCUUUCACUUCCCUCACAAAUGAAAUCGAGACAAACGAACAAAUUACUAAAAGAGGAGAAUGUGAGUGCAAUCGUUGUCUAUAACACUAAAUAACAAGAGAACUGGAUUGGUUCAAGUUUGGGAAGUGAUGCAUGUUUCUAAGAUUCAUAAUCCAUAAUUACACAAUACGGACUCACAGGGGCUUGCAAUAAAGAAAUGUGUUUAGUGUUGUUUACCCUACAGUUUGCCAAAUUGCUUCAGAAUCGCAGUCAGUAUUUGACAAAUGUUAGUCUAUUUAGCUUUGAGGAAGAAAGAUACUGUCUAUAUAACUUACUAAGAAAAUACAUGAGACAUCACAAACAAGCUAUUAAAAAUUUAAAAGAGAAGACAAUAUAGAAUAAAAUUUUAUAAGCAAUAAAGCCAAUACAGUUCUGUUGACAGAAGUUUCUGUAACACCCAGUGCCACAACCACUUAGUCCCAAAUAAACAUGCAGAGGCUUAUGUUAAUUAUAAACUGUUUGGCCAAUGA